ACGGAUAAUUUUAGGUGGGUCUAUGAAUGCAAAAUGAAUGCUAUGGAUGUACAAGGCAGAUAUUUAAAUGGUUAUAGAACUAUAGGUUAAUCAAUUGCUGAUUAUCGGUUCCGUUUGAGGCAAUCAAAGGAUGUUAAUGGAAAUCGGUGCGAGAAUUGCUCCUGUUUGUAGAACGGUUACCUCCUGAGUUAUAUGCAAAACUUAAAACACGAUGCACGUGAACAUAUGUGGGUUAUUGCUAAAAUUUAAACAUGAUGCAAAUUCCCUUCAGACCAUGAGAGUUGUCUUCCGACUAUGAGGAUGAUGUCCUAAGACUAUGACGUCCUCGGCCAUGAAGCGUAUGAUAACGGAUUCAUAGGCCAGGAAACGGUAUCCUCGGGCCAUGAAGAUGGUGCCUCUAGACUAUGAAGCCUUUGAAUAAUGAUAUGCAGUUUCGAGAGAUCAUCCAGCCAUGGUAUGAUGUCUUCGAGCUACGAGGAUGAUACCCUUAGACUAUUGUGCCUUAGGACAACGUGGCGAUAUUUCAGCCUAUGAAAUGCAAAGAUGCGGUAAUAUCAAUCGUUUGAUAGAGGAAACAAGUAAUGCUUAGUCAUAUGCGAGAACGAGACAAGACAAGGCUUAGUCUUGUAUAAAAUGAGGGCAGUGCUUAGCCCGAUGCAAAAAGUGGAGACAAUGCUUUGCCUCAUGAAAGGAAAGGCAAUGCUUAGCCUUGUGAAAUAAUGGAGGCAAUUCUUAGCCUUGUGCUAUGGUGAGGGCGGUGUUUAACCCUAUGCAAGGAGCACAGAUAAUGCUUAGUCUCAUCACGAAAGACAAUGCUUAGCCUUAUGCAAUAAUUGAGGUAGUGCUUAGCCUCAUAUGGAGAAUGUAGACGGUGCUUAGUCUCAUGCAAGAAAGGAAGUGCUUAGGCUUAUGCAACAAUGGAGGUAGCGCUUAGCCUCAUGCAAGGAACGGAGAUAGUGNGGAGGAUGGAGGCAGCGCUUAGCCUCAUGCAAGGAACGGAGACAGUGCUUAGUCUCGUGAAAGGAAAGGCAGUUCUUAGACUUAUAUUGUAUUGAGGACAGUGUUUAGUCUCAUGCAAUAAUGUAGACAGUGCUUAACCGCAUGCAAGGAAUGGAGACAGUGCUUAGUCUCAUGCAAGAAAAGGCAAUGUUUAGACUUAUGCAAUAAUGAAGGCAUUGCUUAGCCUCAUGCAAGGAAGGGAGACAACACUUAGGCUCAUGCAAGUAAAGGCAAUGUUAAGCCUUAUGAGGUGAUGAGGGCAGUUCUUAGACCUAUGCAAGAAUGAGUAAUGAUUAAAUGAGAGAGGGAAAAGUAUUUCUUAGCUUGAAGCGUUUGCGUUUGGAGACUUUUGUCGGUGUGAAGAUAGUGAUCUUGUUAUGUGUAUAUAUUUGCGGAAGUUCCUGUUAUAUCCAUUGUUCCUAUAUCCAAAGGAAAAUUGUGGGUUUAGAGGGGGGAAGGUUGGUUCGUGCUCUCGGUUCCUUGCUUUGCCUUUGCUCUUGUCUUGAAGUCCUGUUUAAGUUACCCCGGGUAACAUCUGGCUACUAAAUAAAAAAAUGAAAUUUCGAAAAACAUGCAUUUGUGAUAAAUUGUUUAUAUAAAAAUGUAGUUGUUUGAAAUAUGUGAUAAUGCAUGAGAGAGAAUAAUUUUGUCGAAUUGAUGACUGUGACACGCUUUUGAGACCUUGCAACCUCCUUAACUCGGAUACAUUUCUUGACGAUUCUAAAUAUGACGAGAUUAGAAAAACUCGAGAUUC
rnacentral:lncRNA from 1 species